rnacentral:rRNA from 1 species
GAUGAACGCUGGCGGCGUGCCUAAUACAUGCAAGUCGAGCGAACAGACGAGGAGCUUGCUCCUCUGACGUUAGCGGCGGACGGGUGAGUAACACGUGGAUAACCUACCUAUAAGACUGGGAUAACUUCGGGAAACCGGAGCUAAUACCGGAUAAUAUAUUGAACCGCAUGGUUCAAUAGUGAAAGACGGUUUUGCUGUCACUUAUAGAUGGAUCCGCGCCGCAUUAGCUAGUUGGUAAGGUAACGGCUUACCAAGGCAACGAUGCGUAGCCGACCUGAGAGGGGGAUCGGCCACACGGGAGGGGAGAAGCGGCCAAGCCCCCAAGGGGGGGCAGAGGGGGGGAAUCUUCGGCAAGGGGGGAAAGCCUGCAGGAGCAACGCCGGGGGGGGGAAGAAGGUCUGCGUACGGAAAAACUUUGUUUUUGGGGAAAAAAAAAUUGGUAAGUAACUAAGCAGGUCUGAAGGUAACCUAAAAAGAAGGCCAGGGUAAAUUAGUG